AUGGCGGAGUCCGACCAAGCCGCAAUGGCUUUCAUUAUUGCAUAUGGCCCCUUCUAUUUUAACACCAUGCCUUUCGGGCUCAAAAACACCGGCACAACCUAUCAACGCAUGAUUCAAACAUGCCUGGAAAAACAAAUCGGCAAGACAGUAGAGGCCUAUGUAGACGACGUGGUCAUCAAAACAAGACACGUUGAAACUUUAAUAGACGACUUGAGGCUUACAUUUGACAACCUCCGAACAUACGAAAUCAAGCUCAACCUGGAGAAGUGUGUCUUCGGGGUACCCUCUGGGAAACUGCUCGGCUUCAUCGUUUCCAAUAGAGGAAAUGAAGCAAAUCCGGCAAAAAUCCGAGCUCUGUCACAGUUGGCUAUCCCAACAGACCUCAAGCAGAUCCAGAAACUAACUGGAUGCGUAGCUUCCUUAAGCCGCUUUAUCUCCCGCUUAGGAGAAAAGGCACUACCUCUUUAUCGCCUUCUUCAAUGCACCGAACACUUCGAGUGGACGGAUGCGGCCACGGCCUGCUGGAAGAAAUAA
rnacentral:rRNA from 1 species